rnacentral:rRNA from 1 species
UACAGAGGGGGCAAGCGUUAUUCGGAAUUAUUGGGCGUAAAGGGCGCGUAGGCGGCUAUUCAAGUGGCGGGUGAAAUCCCUCGGCUUAACCGAGGAACUGCCUGCCAGACUGGAUGGCUUGAGACCGGGAGAGGUGAGUGGAAUUCCCAGUGUAGCGGUGAAAUGCGUAGAUAUUGGGAGGAACACCAGUGGCGAAGGCGGCUCACUGGACCGACACUGACGCUGAGGCGCGAAAGCGUGGGGAGCAAACAGG